UACGUAGGGACCAAGCGUUGUUCGGAUUUACUGGGCGUAAAGGGCGCGUAGGCGGCAUGACAAGUCACUUGUGAAAUCUCCGGGCUUAACUCGGAACGGUCAAGUGAUACUGUCGCGCUAGAGUGCGGAAGGGGCAAUCAGAAUUCUUGGUGUAGCGGUGAAAUGCGUAGAUAUCAAGAGGAAUACCUGAGGUGAAGACGGGUUGCUAGGCCGACACUGACGCUGAAGCGCGAAAGUCAGGGGAGCAAACGGG
rnacentral:rRNA from 1 species